rnacentral:lncRNA from 1 species
UAUUUUUAAAUUUACAGCAGGUUUAUUUGAAUGUGGCAUUGUGAGUUUGCAGUCUCCCUUUGUAGAAUUAAGAGAAAAUGUGGAGCCGUACUCUGACAGGGCACUUUGUUACCUGUGGGAGUUUGCAGUGUGAAUUAGUAUAUUGCAAAUCUUAAAGAUCUCUUUCUAAUAGGGGUAUAAACCCUGUGACAGUACAAACAUUAGGAGGAGAUGGUACUGAUUUACAGCUUUCUAGCUAAAGACAGGAAAGUUUUAGCUUUAUUUUGAGAUGAAAUAUGAAAUGUAAAGCUCACUUGAGACCAUAGCCUUUAAAAUACUUAGAAUCAGUCAGCUGAGGAAUUAACUUAUUCUCAAUAGGAGUUAACAUAAACUAUUUUAAAGCUCAGUGUUUACAUAGGUCACAAAAGUUGAAAACAGCUGGAGACAUACUUCAUGCACUAUUGCUAUCUACGUAAGUAAUGGAAUUUUGUAAGUGCAAUGUACAGUAAACAGCCUACUGAAGGAAAAAUACAAGAAACAUGAAUAGCAGUAAUUUGUUAGCUAGAGUAGGUUAACUCUUAUUGUGAUAAGGCUGACAGGCUUAUUAAUUAAUGACCAAGAUUCAGACCAGGUGCAUGAGAUUUCUUUUAGCUGCAGUUUGUACUGGGGUGUAACAAAUGCUGAUUAACAAAACAGUACUUACUCUAGAAGUUAACUGGGUGCCAGGUAUGCAUUUAAGGCCCUAUUCUUCAAGCUGCUCAGUGUUCCCUGUGAGGCAGUCAUCAACUAGGAGGAAUACUGGACCCCAUCUUGAAGUGUGUGUCCAUGCUUUGAGGCUGCUGAGAAGACUGCUGCACUCUUGAAGCUGCCACCUGACUGCACCCUGAGAAGGUAGACAAUUCUGGGUUGCAGCUAUUGUACUGAAUGCCAGUUUUCAAGAACAAGAUGGUCCACAAGCUUAGCUCAUUAAUGAAGACACAACCUGGUAGGUAAUUUUAUAAUUAAAAUGGGUAUUUUGAGCACUAGGCUGACUUUUGCUACAUAUCCAACUCUCAGUUGAGUAAGAGGCUUUAUGCAAAAUAAUUUUAAAGCUAAAUUGUAAGAGAAAGGGAGGCACAGUUGAGCAUUUUGACUGUUUUGAGCAGAACAGCCUUAAAAUGUUCUGUUUAUUAACACAGUGGAGAAAGGUUUGUGUAAGGUUAGUGUUAGAAUCACU